GCGCACCCCAAGGGGUUCGAGAGGGAACGCGGCGCGCGAGCGUACUGCGUGUGGGGGCCGCCGGCGAGGGGAGCGGCUGAGCGGGCGGCGGUGUCCCCUCAGCGCCCCCGCAGCGCCGAGCCCUGCCCUCCUCACUGACCAACGAUGUUGCCAGGGGCAGAAGGGCCAAAUUGUGACUUGGUCAAAAGAAAGCAGAAGAUUCUUUGAUCCUUCAGUGAGGAUUCUGGAAUGCCAUGAUGGCUGCUUGUAGUUCCACUAGGAUUUUGGGGAUCCAGCUACUCGGACAGGAUUGCAAACCUGGGCUACUGUUCUUAAUGUCCUUUCAGCUGUAGAUACAAGCAGCAUAAUUGUAAGGUGAUAGUGGAAAUUUCUUUGCUUGAUAGGGAUUUUUUAGUUUUAAUUCUGCAACCUCUGUCAUUUUUUAGAAUCUGACAAUGGAAUAUUCAGAUUCACAUCUAACACGACAUUAAUUUGGAAGAGUUGUGAGUUUAUGAGUUUCCUUAAACAUGAAUCCAGAAUCAUUCUGACUGUGAUAAACACACAACUUUAAUGGUUACCUAGUAUUUGGUUGUUCCGGGAGGAGAAAAAGCCUUGCAUUGACUGUGUGCUGAUCACGAGCAACCUUCUGGAAGGCUGGCUUGGCCUAGCAGAAAAACUUUCCAUCUGAGAAAAAGACGAAUCUUAUUCUCUCCUUUUCUAUCUUGAUAUGGUAAUUUACCUUCUCUGUUUUUCAUUUCUCCUCGUACAAAGAGAGAUAAGGCUAUUUAUAGGCCAGUAAACACAGAGUUGAGCUAGUUUCUGUGGAUUGUUAGUGCAUAAAUAUGCUGAAAUUGUAGCUUUAAUUCCAUUACUAAUUGCAAAUUGGGAAGUUUCCUAGAGCCUUUAUCAAAUAGAGACAUAGUAAAUGGGACUGUGGUUUUGUAAGCCAUGGCAACUUGUCAUAUAAUCUUUUCUCCUGCCUGAUUUUAUGUCUGAAAAAGGCUGUUGAAACCAGCAGGGGUUUUACUUACUGCUGCUUAUAUAGAUAUUUCCAUGAGAUUUAAUGUAUUUUACAAUUUUAUGAGUAUCCAUUAAUAAAACUUAACUACUAAUGAGGAAUUAAGCUAGAAAUAUGUGGUUUCCUAUGGGUUUUCUUCCAUCACUUUGAGACUGGACUCAGAUGAGUCUGAUCUCAGGUAUUAGGCAAAUUCUAAACAGUAUUCUCGACAUUUUUUAAUGGUUAUAAAUACCCAAACGAAAGGAAACUCACUUGAUGAAGGGAGAAACCCUGAGCUUCUCAUCAAGAACCUUUCUGGGGUACAUACAGAGAAGAAAGUCAGGAGGAAAAAUUGCUAAAUUUGAAGCACAGGUUGUUCAGAGGUCAGAGGAUGCCUACACUGUCAUGAACUGGAGUUAUUUCUGUGCUGCAAAAGCCAUUGUAUGGCACAGGACAUAUUGCUUGUGUGCAGAUCCUUAAAGGGGUUCAAAAGCAUUUCAUGCCUAAACCAGUAAUAAUUCUUGUAGUGGUUAAGACUCAGGGGCACCAUGGAAUUAAUAAGCUAUGGCUUCUUUUCUGUUCCUAACAAUUCCAGUUUCUUUUGGGUUGGUACAAAAUACUGAACUAAAGAUUCCAGAAAAUGGUUCAUGGAAACUCGGAAAGAUUUUCCAAAGCUUGGGUAUCAAAUUUAAAACCUGACUUUGUACCUCCACUGCCUAAUAAUUUAUUUUGUGUGACCAAUGCUCUGCAGUUGCUGAUAGUUCAUUUUAUUACAAUUAAAUCACUUCAGACACUCAUUACUUUAACUUUCUUUUGCAGCUUUUUUCAACUGCCUUUGGAUUUUGUUAUCCUAAAUGACAUUUUCAAUUUUUUUUUCUCACCAGACCAUUUAUCCCAUUUAUCAGAUCACUGGUGAACAGUGACAGAUCCCAAGAGAGAUGUGAACAGUGUAGUGCUGAUCACACCCAUCCAAUACAAAAACAAAUUUGUUUCUUGUCACUCCACAAUUUUAAUGCAGUCAUUUCAGCUGGAAUUACUGUUCUUAUUUCUCAUCCAUACAGAGGUGAAAUAGCUCCCUAGUUCAUAGUUUUAAACUACUGCUUAAGAAGUUGAAACUUCUGUCGCAUUUGAGAUAUAUGCUCAAACCUGUUGGUUGCCACUGGUUGGCAACCAAAUCUAGAACACUGAUUCUACUGAAUUUACUGAACCUACACCCAAGCAGGCAUAAGAAAAAAGGCUCAAGGUUUGUUACUUUUUGUAGCAAGACACACCAUGUGUUGUACCAGUUCUAAAAUUGCUUGUUAUUUACAAAAACUAUAGUAAACUCCCUGAAAAUAAAACAGAACUGAGUUCACAUGGAAUCACAGAUGAAUGAUGCAACCUUGCCAAAUCUUGCAUUCAUGUGAUAGCCACAUUAACUUUCAUGUGAUAAUUUGCAGAUAAAUUCCAUCAAAAAACCCCAAUAUUCAAGCACCUCUAAUAAUGUGAAUUUAAUUUUUGCACAUUAAAACUGUGAUAAAGCCAUUCUAAUUAUUUUUAAUUAUAUUGAGAUGAAAAUAUGUCACUCAUGUAAGUAAUUAUGUAAGUAAUUUAAAUCUGAUUAAAUAAUGAUGAUUCUUUCUGCGCUGCCUUCAAAGUGCUUAUAACUAAAUCUAAUUUUAAGCAGGAUCAAGAAAAUAAUCACUUGAUUCAAAAAUCAAUUACUAAUUUUUAUCCUAAUUCGUUUAAAAACAGACCUGUUUUUCUUUUGCAGACUCUGCAGGGCAUUAAUUGACAUUUUACAAAAUGAGUCAUUAUUUUGGCAAGGAGAAGUAUUUUUCAAAUAGUGAAUCACGACAACCAGAAGGGGUUGUUAAAGAGCUCAAAGGAAGCCUUGGCAGCUCAGUGAAAGCAGCUUUAUUUAGCAGCAGUUUGGCUUCUCCAGGCUGACUGGAAAAGUUGUGCCAACUCUGCUCUUCACACCAGCCAGGGCACUGCUCUCUGCUUUCACUGCUGCCAGUGGGCGAGAGAGCUGAACAAAGUGUGUCCUAAAGCAUUAAACAGCUUUAUUGAGGCAUGCUGGAACAGGAGAGAAAACACUUGAGAUCACUUUGGAAGUGUUAAGAAUCAGGAGGUUUAUGGCUUUGUUUCUAAUCCGGUUUGAAACGGAUAGAGGGUCUGAGCAAUCUUCUCAGGAUCUGACCCAGGACCCCGAGCCUUACAAGAGUAGGACUGGUUUUGUUGGGGUUUUUCUGUCUGGACCCUGUAUCUUGUUCGGAACUGGGGGAGUAACAACACCCUCCAAAAACAGGCCAGAUUUUUGGAUGUAUAUUCCUUUGGUAAAGAACUAACUUUUUGAUAUGUAACUUGUAAGAAUGAAAUGGCUGACUGGUUCUAUAGGAUAAGAAAAACUGCAUUCAUAUAUCAGUAAUUUUUCUGAUAGUAGAUCUUAAGCCCCAAUGAGAUUAUUAUAAUGAUUAUGUGCAGUAAGUGACAAAUGUCACCCAUGGGUUUUAUCACUUUUUUCUGAAGCUACUAAUUCAAUCACUCAAUUUUGCUCACUCAAAUCAUAUGCUUUGUAAGCUCAAAGGAGACCAGGAUUCCACCUAAGGGAGUGUACUGUCAUUUCUUCACUGCUUGAGCCUUUACAACUUGCUUUGGACAAGUUAUUUCUUUUUUUGUCAAAGCCUGAUGGAAGAAAAACUAUCAGUAUUUCACCCUGAUCACUUUUUCUCCUUCAGGCUGUAUUUAUAUUGAGAUUGAACUGUCUUUGUCUUUCUCAUUAUUAUUUUCUUAUAAAAGUAUCUGUUUGCUUCAACACCUAGCUACUGCAUUUUCACUUACUUGCCCUCAUCAGAGAGGCCUGAAUAGUUCUCCAUCAUAACUGACCAUUUGUUUCCUAGCAGAAAGCAGGCUGAACUUUCAUGAUUCUAUCAAAUUGCCUCUGCACCAUCUUGUGACAAACUCUGAUAUGAUACGGUCCUUUUAUUAUAAAUUAAGAAAUACAGCAAAAUAUUUUGUUUAAUCUUCAAAGGCAUGAGCUAGUAUUUCUGUGGAAAAAUCUAACCCCACUCAUUUCAUCCUCUUCAGUGUUCAAAACAGCAUCACCCCAGACUGCCAAUAUCUGUUCUUCAGCGGUUACUGAAAACGUUCAGCAAACUCAGUUACGAGACACAUACACAAGCAAUUCCACUUGCAGCUGCCACCCUGCCCCACCCACCUCAUCAUCAAGCUGCUCUAGUUCCCAUCUUCUCCAUCUUGACUAUCUUCCACACUUCCACUGUAUCCAAAUAGUAGAUAUUCCAAAUCUACACAAUCUGCACUUGUUUUGUUGUGCCAGGCCUGAUUCUUUGCUUUUAGCCCUGGAAAUUCUGCAGAUCUAAUCUCUCUUUGCUUGCAGGUUGGUUUGUGCAUUGCACUCUUCUUUUUCCACUUGAACCUGUUAGUUCCCAGCACUGGUUCAAACCCCACAAUUCUGUAGCAUCAAACCAGUUUUUCUUUUCUACCUUAACCAGAGUCUGUGGUCUCCCUCCCAGCUUUUGGUGACUGCACAAACAGGAAGAGUUCAGCUCUACACUGCCAGUUUGAGCUGAAAUCAAACCCAGCUUUUUCCUUACCAUUUAAAGUUCUGACUGCUCCCCAUGCUAAACAAGUGUAACUGCUCAACAGAAUGACGGCUGAAGCAGCUAAGGGUAGAAAAAAAACAAGAUUAUCUUUCUUUCCUUAUAAUACAAACCAACUUUUAAUAAUAAAAACGUUUCUCAGGUUUUCAGUGAGAAGAACAUAUACAUUUCAGUGUAAAACAGUGCACAGUGUCAAUGCCCUUGGAAACCCUUCUCUGCAUCUCUCAUGUAGCCAGAGGCUGCAGAGCACAAGUGAUGGGGACACAGGCAGGACUCACCCAACAAGUGUUUUUUUACUUUGGGGUGUUCCUACGGUUCUUAUAGUACUAAGCACAUUUGAAAUUGAGGAUUCAGUGAAGAAACAUCCAUUUUUUCUUCAAAUAAAAAAUGGUAAGGGUAACUUUUCCAAAAUUAACAAAAAGUGCAUUGAAAUGGAUCUGCUCAUCUGGUUGCAGUCCAGAAUGGACUCUCAGUACCAAAUCUGUAUCCCAAAGCUUGCAGUCCAUGGGCUGUCCUAGUUCCCUGCAACACGUUGCUGUAGAUCACAGGAAACAAUUAGAAGUAAGAAAACUAAAAAAAAAAAAAAAAAAAAAAAAAAAAAAAAGAUAAAAACAAAU